rnacentral:rRNA from 1 species
GAUGAACGCUGGCGGCGUGCUUAACACAUGCAAGUCGAACGGUGAACGAGGGAGCUUGCUCCCUCCGGAUCAGUGGCGAACGGGUGAGUAACACGUGAGCAAUCUGCCCCGAACUCUGGGAUAAGCGCUGGAAACGGCGUCUAAUACCGGAUACGACGCGCGAAGGCAUCUUCUGCGCGUGGAAAGAAUUUCGGUUCGGGAUGAGCUCGUGGCCUAUCAGCUAGUUGGUGAGGUAACGGCUCACCAAGGCGACGACGGGUAGCCGGCCUGAGAGGGUGACCGGCCACCCUGGGACUGAGACACGGCCCAGAGUCCUACGGGAGGCAGCAGUGGGGAAUAUUGCACAAUGGGCGCAAGCCGGAUGCAGCAACGCCGCGUGAGGGACGACGGCCUUCGGGUUGUAAACCUCUUUUAGUAGGGAAGAAGCGAAAGUGACGGUACCUGCAGAAAAAGCACCGGCUAACUACGUGCCAGCAGCCGCCGUAACAC